GACGAACGCUGGCGGCGUGCCUAAUACAUGCAAGUCGAACGAGUGGCGGACGGGUGAGUAACACGUGGGAACCUACCCCUCAGAGGGGGAUAACACUUGGAAACAGGUGCUAAUACCGCAUACUGAUGGAUGGACCCGCGGUGCAUUAGCUAGUUGGUGAGGUAAAGGCUCACCUAGGCGACGAUCCCUAGCUGGUCUGAGAGGAUGACCAGCCACACUGGAACUGAGACACGGUCCAGACUCCGACGGGAGGCAGCAGUGGGGAAUAUUGCACAAUGGGCGCAAGCCUGAUGCAGCGAUGCCGCGGGUAUGAAGAAGGCCUUCGGGUUGUAAAGUACUGUCAGCGGGGAAGCGGUACCCGCAGAGGAAGCACCGGCUAACUCCGUGCCAGCCGCCGCGGUAAUAC
rnacentral:rRNA from 1 species